UGGACAGUUUAAUGUCUCAGGAACAAAAGAAUGACAUCUUUUGAUGGAAAUAAAAGUUUUCAGUAUAUAGACACCCCAAAAAUCUAAGUGAAAAAAUGAUGUGGCAGGCUCGUCCAUUUUGCCUAAAUUCAAUUUCUGCAACUCAAAAUUAUUUUCAAUAUAUUGUGUGGCCCCCAUGUGCUUGUAUGCAUGCUUGACAACGUUGCAGCAUGCUCCUAAUGAGACGACGGAUGGUGUCUUGUGGGAUGUCCUCCCAGAUCUGUCUAAGGGCAUCAGUGAGCUCCUGUAAAGUCUGAGGAGCAACCUGGCGGCGCCUGAUGGACCGAAACAUUAUGUCUCAGAGGUGUACUAUCGGGUUUAGAUCAGGUGAUCGUGAGGGCCAUUCAAUUGUGUCAAUUCCUUCAUCCUCCAGAUACUGUCUGCAUACUCUUGCCACAUGAGGCCGGGCAUUGUCGUGGACCAGGAGGAACCCAGGACCUACUGCACCAGCAUAGGGUCUGACCAUGGGUGCAAGGAUUUCAUCCCGAUACCUAAUGGCAGUCAGACUGCCGUUCUCUAGCCUGUAGAGGUCUGUUCGUCUCUCCAUAGAAAUGCCUCCCCAGACCAUCACUGACCCCCCCCCCCGAACGGGUCAUGCUGAAUGAUGUUGCAGGCAGCAUAGCGCUCUCCUUGGCUUCUCCAGACCCUUUCACGUCUAUCACAGGUGCUCAGGGUAAACCUGCUCUGAUCUGUGAAAAGCACAGGGCGCCAGUGGCGGACUUGCCAAUUCUGGUGUUCUAUGGCAAAUGCCAAUCGAGCUCCACGGUUCUGAGCAGUGAGCACAGGGCACACUACAGGACGUCGUGCCCUGAGGCCACCCUCGUGAAGUCUGCUUCUGAUUGUUUGGGCAGACAUUCACACCAGUAGCCUGCUGGAGGUCAUUCUGUAGGGCUCGGGCAGUGCUCAACCUGUUCCUCCUUGCACAAAGCAGCAGAUAUCGGUCCUGCUGAUGGGAUGAGGACCGUCUACGACCCUGUCCAGCUCUCCUAGAGUAAUUGCCUGUCUCCUGGAAUCUCCUCCAUGCUCUGGAGAUUGUACUGAGAGACACAUCAAAUUUUCUUGCAACAGCACGCAUGGAUGUGCCAUCCUGGAGGAGUAGGACAAUCUGCGCAACUUCAGGAGGGUUAAGAAAUCGCCUCAUGCUCCCAGUCGUGAUAAUGACUCUAGCUAAAGCCAACACUUGUGGAAAAACAGUUAAAAAAGAUCAAGAGGGAGGAACUUGAAAUGGCCUACACCUGCAAAACCAGUCCUGUUUUGGGGGCCAUCUCGUUGUUGCCCCUCUAGUGCACCUGUUGUUAAUUCCAUCAACACCAAUGCAGCUGAAACUGAUUAACAACCCCCUCUGCCACGUACCUGACCAAAACCUUAUCAGAAAAGUGCAAUUGAAUUCAUGCCAUACCCUGAUAAAAAACUGUUCCUUUAAUUUUUUUGAGCAGUGUAGUUUGUGUCCUUAGGGAUGGUUUUAUUUGUAGUUCGCAAUUAUAAAUAAUAAAUACAUGGGUUAUACUUGUAUAGCGCUUUUCUACCUUCAAGGUACUCAAAGCGCUUUGACAGUAUUUCCACAUUCACCCAUUCACACACACAUUCACACACUGAUGGCGGGAGCUGCCAUGCAAGGCGCUAACCAGCAGCCAUCAGGAGCAAGGGGUGAAGUGUCUUGCCCAAGGACACAACAGACGUGACUAGGAUGGUAGAAGGUGGGGAUUGAACCCCAGUAACCAGCAACCCUCUGAUUGCUGGCACAGCCACUGUACCAACUUCGCCACGCCGUCCCCAUGUAUGUAUAAGAUUUAAAAAAAAAAUCUAUUAUUACAUUUACUGCAGUAUUUUACCAUGUGGUAUAGUAAACUAAGUACAUUUUUGCCCAACAUUCCCAUCAGCUGAAAAUGAGAAGAGCCUGGAAUCCAUGCGAAAAGCUUUACUCCUGGAUGUAAACAAUAGGAAUAACCGAGAGGCUGUGAAGUUCAAAAUGGAAGACACUUUAGCAUAUCAAAGACAUGAGGUUGUCUGUGAGUCCCUGAUGGACUGCUUUGUUUAAAGUCAGCGAGAUCAAUUCUGAAUUCAAAAGGAUCGCCGCUUCUGUCCAAGUUCCUGUCUCAGGUGAAUUUCCACUCAGCUGCGAUGACGUAGCUCUUCCGAAGGAGGGGACAGCAAAGGGCAAAACUUAAACGAAUCACUGCAGAAUUAACUAAUAGUCUGGCUAUGAGCAAACUGGAUGGGGCCAUUGAAAACAUAGCAGUUGGAAUCUACGUUGUUAAACAAGCUUCAACUAACGAAGUAGAGGACAUUGGCAUCGUUCUUGAGGAUAGUCAAGAUUUUGGACAAUUUGAAUAAUGUAGUAUCAUUGGCUGUUGCUAUGCUGUUUGGACUUAGGCAUGCCCUGAACCUCAGCUACCCUCCUGACCUCCACUACACUUUUGAGGUAAUCCAAAACAUUUGGAUGGAGCCAGAUGAAUAAACAAAGCAAUAGUCCCAAAAAAUAGGGUCUUUCUUUGAUGUUUGGGGGUAUGUGCGUGUGCAUUGGUCUGACAAAUCAAAUAGUAUAAAAAUGGGACCCGUUACCUCCCUGCUUGGCACUCAGCAUCAAGUGUUGGAAUGGGGGGUUAAAUCACCAAAAAUGAUUCCCGGGCGUGGCCACCGCUGCUGCUCAAUGCUCCCCUCACCUCCCAGGGGGUGAUCAAGGGUGAUGGGUCAAAUGCAGAGAAUAAUUUCGCCACACCUAGUGUGUCUGUGACAAUCAUGGGUACUUUUAACUUUUAACUUAAAGAUUUGCUGUUAUUUUAAAUGGUUUUUCAGGGUUAACCAUCUAUUUUCUACCGCCUGUCUUUUUCGUGGUUGACCUUCGUUUGUUAGAAAUGUUCUAACACUGCUGCCUUUUAUUUGCGGAACUGGGCACACAGUCUGGAUAUUUGUUAAAAAAGUUGUAACACUACUGCCUUUUAUUUGCGGAACUGUGCACACAGUCUGGAUAUGAACACACUCGAUGGGGCCAUUGAAAACACCACAGUUGGAAUAGUUGAACAGGCUUCAACUAAUGAAGUAGAGGACUUUGGCAUUGUUCUUAAAGGGGAAUUGCAUUUUUUUGGGUAAUGUUACCUAUCGUUCACAAUCCUUAUGUAAGACAAGAACACACAUAUUUUGGGGAGGCUGGGGUUACAUUCUAAUUUGUAGGUGGCUCCCAAUACUGCUAAUGAAAGCAAUUAAUUCUGCCUUGUGCAAGCUUGGUUCUAUAAACAGCAGUUCAUUGUCCGUAUAUUCAGGUUAAAAAAGAUAAGGUUGUGAAUCCUUAAAAUUUUUAGCUAUAUCUUACCUUUUUUUUUCUCUCUCUCUAAUUCCCCAGCCAUAAACCUUAGUUAUAUAACUUGGUACGUGACACAUGGUAACUGUUAGUAUGCUAACGUUAGCAUGUUAGCAUGCUGAUACUUGGCCCCAUCUUGAAUGUAUGCCAACAUCUCAUAUUAGCAUGCAAAUGUUAGCGUGUUAACGUUUGAGGCUAACUCAGUAGCUCAUUUUGUACUCUUACACCUAAAACUCACGGAUUUAGACACUGCACCAUCUUAAAAGUACGCCCGGCUUUCACCGACCCUAGGCUCGAGGUUCAGGGCACAAAUAGCAGGCCCAUCAAAAUUUUGGCUACAAUUUGUGUCAUUUCCAAUUAGCCCACGUACAGUACGCAGAGAGCUUCAUGGAAUGGGUUUCCAUGGCCGAUCAGCUGCAUCUAAGGCAUACGUCACGAAGUCCAAUGCAAAGUGUCGAAUGCAAUGGUGUAAAGCACGUCGCCACUGGACUCUAGAGCAGUAGAGACGUGUUCUCUGGACUGAUGAAUCACGCUUUUCCAUCUGGCGAUCUGAUGGACGAGUUUGGGUUUGGAGGUUGCCAGGAGAACGAUACGUUUCGGGCUGCAGUGUGUCGAGUGUGAAAUUUGGUGGAAGAGGAAUUAUGUUGUGGGGUUGUUUUUUCAGGUGUUGUGCUUGGCCCCUUAGUUCCAGUGAAAGGAACUUUAAAUGCUCCAGGAUACCAAAACACUUCGGACAAUUCCAUGCUCCCAACCUUGUGGGAACAGUUUGGAGCGGGGGCCUUCCUCUUCCAACAUGACUGUGCACCAAUGCACAAAGCAAAGUCCAUAAAUACAUGGAUGACAGAGUCUGGUGUGGAUGAACUUGACUGGCCUGCACAGAGUCCUUACCUGAACCCGAUAGAACACCUUUGGGAUGAAUUAGAACAGAGACUGCACUUUUGGAAGAAUGGUCGAAAAUUCCUAUAAACACAUUCCGUAACCUUGUGGACAGUCUUCCCAGAAGAGUUGAAGCUGUAAUAGCUGCAAAAGGUAGACCAACAUCAUAUUGAACCCUAUGGGUUAGGAAUGGGAUGGCACUUCAAGUUCAUAUAUGAGUCAAGGCAGGUGGCCAAAUACUUUUGGCAAUAAAGUGUAUGUUUAAUGUACCGUAAGAUUUUGUAUAAA